GGCAGAAGCCGUGGGCUAUAGCACACGAAAAAUUGGGACUCGCGCGGUUUUCCAAUUUAAUGGCCGUAAACAUCCGAAAAAUGUAAUUUUAUCAUGGUUGGGCGGUUACUAUGGUUCCUUUGGUCGAAUUGGAUGUGCGAGAAAAAUUUUAGACGAUUCAGGUCUGCGGGCCCGAGGUCACGGCAGAAGGCGUGGGCUAUAGCACACGAAAAAUUGGGACUCGCGCGGAUUUCUGAUUUUAUGGCCAUAAACAUCCAAAAAAUGUAAUUUUAUCAUGGCCGGGCGGUGAUUAUGGUUCCAUUGGCCGUAUUUGAUGUACGUGAAAAAUUUUAGAUGAUUUGGGUUGGGGGGCCUGGGUUCACGACAGAAGGCGUGGGCUAUAGCACACGAAAAAUUGGGACUCCCGCGGAUUUCUGAUUUUAUGACAAUAAAAAUCCAAAAAAUGUAAUUUUAUCUUGGCCGGGCGGUGACUAUGGUUCCUUUGGCCGUAUUGGAUGUACGUGAAAAAUUUUAGAUGAUUCGGGUUCGGGGGCCUGGGUUCACGACAGAAGGCGUGGGCUAUAGCACACGAAAAAUUGGGACUCGCGCGGACUUCCGAUUUUAUGGCCGUAAACAUCCAAAAAAUGUAAUUUUGUCAUGACCGGGUUGUGACUACGGUUCCUUUGGCCGUAUAGGAUGUACGAGAAAAUGUUUAGAUGAUUCGAUUCGGGUCCGGGGGCCCGAGGUCACGGCAGAAGGCGUGGGCUAUAGCAUACGAAAAAUUGGGACUCGCACGGGUUUCCAAUUUUACGGCCGUAAAUAACCAAAAAAUGUAAUUUGGUCAUGGCCGGGCGGUGACUAUGGUUCCUUUAGCCGUAUUGGUUGUACCCUAAAAAUUUUAGACGAUUCGGGUAGUAAAUAACCAAAAAAUGUAAUUUAGUCAUGGUCGGGCGGUGACUAUGGUUCCUUUGGCCGUAUUGGAUGUACCUGAAAAAUUUUAGAUGAUUCGGGUUCGGGGGCCCGGGGUCACGACAGAAGGCGUGGGCUAUAGCAUAUGAAAAAUUGGGACUCGCGUGAGUUUCCAAUAUUACGGCCGUAAAACAUCCAAAAAAUGCAAUUUGGUCAUGGACGGGGGGUGACUAUGGUUCCUUUGGCCGUAUUGGGUGUACCCUAAAAAUUUUAAAUGAUUCGGGUCCGGGGGCCUAGGGUCACGGCAGAAGGCGUGGGCUAUAGCACACGAAAAAUUGGGACUCGCGCGGAUUUCCAAUUUUAUGUGACUAUGGUUCCUUUGGCCGUAUUGGGUGUACCCUAAAAAUUUUAGAUGAUUCAGGUCCGGGGGCCCGGGGUCACGGCAAAAGCCGUGGACAAUAGCACACGAAUAAUUGGGACUCGCGCGGAUUUCCAAUUUUAUGGCCGUAAACAUCCGAAAAAUGUAAUUUUAUCAUGGCCGGGCGGUGACUAUGGUUCCUUUGGCCGAAUUGGAUGUGUGAGAAAAAUUUUAGACGAUUCAGGUCUGGGGGCCCGAGGUUACGGCAGAAGGCGUGGGCUAUAGCACACGAAAAAUUGGGACUCGCGCGGAUUUCUGAUUUUAUAGCCAUAAACAUCCAAAAAAUAUAAUUUUAUCAUGGCCGGGCGGUGACUAUUUGGCCGUAUUGGAUGUACGAAAAAAUUUUUAGACGAUUCAGGUCCAGGAGCCCGAGGUCACGGCAGAAGGCGUGGGCUAUAGCACACGAAAAAUUGGGACUCGCGCGGAUUUCUGAUUUUAUGGCCAUAAACAUCCAAAAAAAUGUAAUUUUAUCAUGGCCGGGCGGUGACUAUGGUUCCUUUGGCCGUAUUGGAUGUACGUGAAAAAUAUUAGAUGAUUCGGGUUCGGGGGCCUGGGUUCACGACAGAAGGCGUGGGCUAUAGCACACGAAAAAUUGGGACUCGCGCGGACUUCCGAUUUUAUGGCCGUAAACAUCCAAAAAAUGUAAUUUUGUCAUGACCGGGUUGUGACUACGGUUCCUUUGAAAAAUGUAAUUUUAUCAUUGCCGGCGGUGACUAUGGUUCUUUUGGCCAAAUUGGAUGUGUGAGAAAAAUUUUAGACGAUUCAGGUCUGGGGGCCCGAGGUCACGGCAGAAGGCGUGGGCUAUAGCACACGAAAAAUUGGGACUCGCGCGGACUUCAGAUUUUAUGGCCGUAAACAUCCAAAAAAUGUAAUUUUGUCAUGACCGGGUUGUGACUACGCUUCCUUUGGCCGUAUUGGAUGUACGAGAAAAUGUUUAGAUGAUUUGAUUCAGGUCCGGGGGCCCGAGGUCACGGCAGAAGGCGUGGGCUAUGGCAUACGAAAAAUUGGGACUCGCACGGGUUUCCAAUUUUACGGCCGUAAAUAACCAAAAAAUGUAAUUUGGUCAUGGCCGGGCGGUGACUAUGGUUCCUUUAGCCGUAUUGGUUGUACCCUAAAAAUUUUAGACGAUUCGGGUCCGGGGAUCCGGGGUCAAGGCAGAAGGCGUGGGCUAUAGCACACGAAAAUUGGGACUCGCGCGAAGUUCCGAUUUCAUGGCCGUAAACAUCCAGUGGUUGCCUUAGCCGCAUUGGGUGUACCCUAAAAAUUUUAGACGAUUCGGGUUCGGGGGCCCGGGGUCACGGCAGAAGGCGUGGGCUAUAGCACACGAAAAUUAGGACUCGCGCGGAGUUCCGAUUUUAUGGCCGUAAACAUCUAAAAAUGUAAUUUUUUCAUGGCCAGGUGGUGACUAUGCUUCCUUUGGCCGUAUUAAAUGUACGAGAAAAAUAUUAGAUGAUUCGGGUUGGGGGCCCGAGGUCACGGCAGAAGGCAUGGGCUAUAUCCACGAAAAAUUGGGACUCGUGCGGAUUUCCAAUUUUAUGCCCGUAAAAGUCCAAAAAAUGUAAUUUUAUCAUGGUCGGGCGGUGACUAUGGUUCCUUUGGCCGUAUUGGAUGUACGAAAAAAUUUUUAGACGAUUCAGGUCCAGGAGCCCGAGGUCACGGCAGAAGGCGUGGGCUAUAGCACACGAAAAAUUGGGACUCGCGCGGAUUUCCAAUUUUAUGGCCGUAAACAUCCAAAAAAUGUAAUUAGGUCUGGGGGCCCGAGGUCACGGCAGAAGGCGUGGGCUAUAGCACACGAAAAAUUGGGACUCGCGCGGAUUUCUGAUUUUAUGGCCAUAAACAUCCAAAAAAUGUAAUUUUAUCAUGGCCGGGCAGUGACUAUGGUUCCUUUGGCCGUAUUGGAUGUACGUGAAAAAUAUUAGAUGAUUCGGGUUCGGGGGCCCGGGGUCACGACAGAAGGCGUGGGCUAUUGCAUAUGAAAAAUUGGGACGCCGCGAGUUUCCAAUAUUACGGCCGUAAACAUCCAAAAAAUGUAAUUUGGUCAUGGACGGGGGGUGACUAUGGUUCCUUUGGCCGUAUUGGGUGUACCCUAAAAAUUUUAAAUGAUUCGGGUCCGGGGGCCCGGGGUCACGGCAAAAGGCGUGGGCUAUAGCGCACGAAAAAUUGGGACUCGCGCGGAUUUCCAAUAUUAUGGCCGUAAACAUCCGAAAAAUGUAAUUUUAUCAUGGCCGGGCGGUGACUAUGGUUCCUUGGCCGAAUUGGAUGUGCGAGAAAUAUUUUAGACGAUUCAGGUCCGGGGGCCCGAGGUCACGGCAGAAGGUGUGGGCUAUAGCACACGAAAAAUUGGGACUCGCGCGGAUUUCCGAUUUUAUGGCCGUAAACUUCCAAAAAAUGUAAUUUUAUCAUGGCCGGGCGGUGACUAUGGUUCCUUUGGCCGUAUUGGAUGUGCGUGAAAAAUUUAGAUGAUUCGGGUUCGGGGGCCUGGGUUCACGGCAGAAGGCGUGAGCUAUAGCACACGAAAAAUUGGGACUCGCGCGGAUUUCCGAUUUUAUGGCCGUAAACAUCCAAAAAAUGUAAUUUUGUCAUGACCGGGUUGUGACUACGGUUCCUUUGGCCGUAUUGGAUGUACGAGAAAAUGUUUAGAUGAUUCGAUUCUGGUCCGGGGGCCCGAGGUCACGGCAGAAGGCGUGGGCUAUAGCACACGAAAAUUGGGACUCGCGCGGAGUUCCGAUUUUAUGGCCGUAAACAUCCAAAAAAUGUAAUUUUGUCAUGGCUAGGUGGUUACUGUGCUUCCAUUGGCCGUAUUAAAUGUACGAGAAAAAUUUUAGAUGAUUCGGGUUUGGGGGCCCGAGGUCACGGCAGAAGGUGUGGGUUAUAGCACACGAAUAAUUGGGACUCGCGCGGAUUUCCAAUUUUAUGGCCGUAAACAUCCAAAAAUGUAAUUUUAUCAUUGCCGGGCGGUGACUAUGGUUCCUUUGGCCGUAUUGGAUGUACGAGAAAAAUUUGAGACGAUUCAGGUCGGGGAGCCCGAGGUCACGGCAGA
rnacentral:lncRNA from 1 species